rnacentral:misc_RNA from 1 species
UAAGCAAGCCCUCCGGUGCGU